rnacentral:RNase_P_RNA from 1 species
GAAGCCCGCCAGACCGCCGCUGGUGCCGGGAUCCAGGCGACGCUUGCGUCGCGUGGGAAACCAGGCACUGGAGGAACGUCCGGACUGCACAGGGCAGCGUAGCAGGUAACACCUGUCCACCGUGAGGUGAGGAUCAGAGCAACAGAGACGAGUCGCGGCGGGCAACCGCUGCGGGUGAAACGGGCAAUCUCUACGCGCAGCAAUACCAAGUAGGCCAGCCUGGAGCGGCGCGGUACGCCGCGACUCUCCGCCUUGUGGCACCGCAAGGAGAGCUGGCGGGUAGGUAGCACCGAGCUGCUUGGCGACAAGCAGCCCAGAGGAAUGGCGGUCACGCCGCGCCUUCGAAAGAAAGUGCGGCGCCACAGAAUCCGGCUUAUCGGCGGACUUCACAC